UAAUCUUGCGACCGUACUCCCCAGGCGGAAUGCUUAAUCCGUUAGUGUGUCACCGAACAGUAUACUGCCCGACGACUGGCAUUCAUCGUUUACGGUGUGGACUAUBCAGGGUAUCUAAUCCUGUUUGCUCCCCACACUUUCGUACCUCAGCGUCAGUAUCGAGCCAGUGAGCCGCCUUCGCCACUGGUGUUCCUCCAAAUAUCUACGAAUUUCACCUCUACACUUGGAAUUCCACUCACCUCUCUCGAACUCAAGACCAGGAGUUUAUAAGGCAGUUCCAGGGUUGAGCCCUGGGAUUUCACCCUAUACUUUCUGAUCCGCCUACGUAUGCUUUACGCCCAGUAAUUCCGAACAACGCUAACCCCCUCCGUAUUACCGCGGCUGCUGGCACGGAGUUAGCCGGGGUUUCCUUACCAGGUACUGUCAUUAUCAUCCCUGGCGAAAGAGCUUUACGACCCUAGGGCCUUCAUCACUCACGCGGCAUGGCUAGAUCAGGCUUGCGCCCAUUGUCUAAGAUUCCCCAU
rnacentral:rRNA from 1 species